rnacentral:tRNA from 1 species
GGAGGAGUGGCCGAGUGGUUGAAGGCGCCGCUCUCGAAAAGCGGUAUACCCGAAAGGGUAUCGUGAGUUCGAAUCUCACCUCCUCCG